rnacentral:rRNA from 1 species
CGCACGGGUGAGUAACGCGUAUGCGACCUGCCCGUUGCAGGGGGGAUAAUCGGGAGAAAUCCCGUCUAAUACCGCGUAACGCCGCGGGGCUGCAUGGCCCUGCGGCCAAAGGGAGCGAUUCCGGCAACGGAUGGGCAUGCGUGACAUUAGCUAGUUGGCGGGGCAACGGCCCACCAAGGCAACGAUGUCUAGGGGUUCUGAGAGGAAGGUCCCCCACACUGGUACUGAGACACGGACCAGACUCCUACGGGAGGCAGCAG